rnacentral:lncRNA from 1 species
GUCAUUUCUGUGUUCAGAAAGGUUAAGAUGAUGUUAUAAAACACAAGAGAUCUGGACAAGAGAUCUCCUAAACUCAUACAUUCUGAAGCUGCCCAUUUUAAGUCUUCCAGUGGGGAAGAUUGGACCAGGUUGUAGCUGCUACAUAGACUACAGCUUACUGGGGCCACAGGGAGAGUUGGGUGACAAGUGGACACCAAAGGGAGGUGACAACCCUGAAAAGGGGUGAGUAGCCCUCUCACCAGAGCUGCUAGCUUUCCCUGACUGCCUUAUACACCCCAAAGUUUCAUUUUAAUCUUGUCUCACUCUACUUGGAAGUAUUAUGUGUCCCACUUCUGCAUUAAGCCACACUGCCUCUAACUUUUCACUUAUAGCAGCUUCCUUUGACAUUAAAAUGGCCCACUAUUUCUGCUUUGUUGCAGAGUCUGGGGGUUAUUUGGGAUUAAGACAAGAGAAUAAAGGCACUUCAGCUGAUAAAGCAUCAGGUCUCUACAACCCAAGAAUUCCUCCCUGUGAUUCUCUAUUGUUGUCUGUACUGAAUCCAGUCAGGUUAUAUCUCCAAGAAGAGGCUGCAGAGGACCCCUUGGUUUCCUUCUGGUGAAGCCAUGUCUGUCUAUCCCAAGUCAGCAAGUAGGGAGAACAAACUAAUUUUGGGAACUGACUGAGAUGAAUCUGUGUUGCAGUGUCAAUAGCUGUAUCUUUGACAGCUCCUUCAGAUCCAUUUCCUCUGAGGUAGGGUGUGUGACUUCAGACCUUAAUAUUUUACCUGGUUGAAUGGGGAUGGGUGUUGAAAAAGAGAUCAGGAGGCUGAGAGAGAAAGGAAAAGCAUUUGUUUAGGUUAGAAACCUAUUCAACUGCCUACAAUUUCACUGCCUUCUUUAAGAACCUUGGGUCAUAGGUACAAGACAGUAUUGAUUGGAGUCUGGGUUAGAGAGCAGACUAGGUUAGAGAACAGACUGGAUAUGGUAGGAGAAGGAAUCUGGAGCCUAUUUCACAAAGAGAGAGACAGAGAUAAGAGAGAGACAGAGAUAAGAGAGAGAGGAAGAGAGACAGGAGGGAGAAAGAGAGACUGGGAGAGAGAGAGAGAAAAAGACAGAGAAGGAGAGAGAGAGAGAGGAGAGAGAGAGAAAAGAGAGGAGAGGAGAGAAAGAGAGAGAGGAGAGAGAGAAAGAGAGAGGAGAGAGAAGAGAGAGAGAAAUGAGAGAAGAGAGAGAGAAGACACAGGCAGAGGGAGAGAAGAGAGAGAGGAAACACAGAGAACAGACAGACAGAGAAAGAGAGAGACGCGAGAGAGGAGUGAGAACAGACAUAAGACAGAGAGAGAAGAGAGAGAGAAGAGAGAGAAGAGAGAGAAAAGAGAGAAGAGAGAGAGAAAGAGAGAGAGAGGAGAGAGAGAAGAGAGAGAAAAGAGAGAAGAGAGAGAGAAAGAGAGAGAGAAGAGAGAGAGAGAGAGAGAGAGAGAGAGAGAGAGAGAGAGAGAGAGAGAGAGAGAGAGAGAGAGAGAGAGAGUGCAAUGAGAUUAAGAAGUCAGUUUUGCAUGAAAGGGGUUCAUUAUGUGUGGAGGGCAGUGGCAAAUGACAGAUCGCCAGAGUUAGUAAGAGCAGUGUGAGGAUGAUUUCUAUGAGUAUAUAUGGAGAGUGAGGAAAGGAAUGAGUCAGUGAGUGACAGGGCAAAACUGUCAUCAAAGCCUUAGUCUGGGAGAGACCGUACUUGGGCAAUGCGAGGACAUCCUCCCUCCCCCAAAGACAGCAAUUGAACCAGCCCUGAUGUAACUUUAAGGUCAGGUUUGUCAUAGGCAACAUAUCUGAAUCAUGAAUUUCUAAGCUCCUCCUGGUUCUAUUUUUGGAAGAGAUUGCCCUGGAGAAGGAGGUACAGAUUGACUUGGGGCAGAAAAUGAGUUAGAGCCAAUGACUGUAGUGUGCCAAUAGAAGACUAAUUGUUAGGGAUAAUGACCUUUUUUGAUUUUUUUCUCCUCUGUGACACACUUAGAAGUUUUCUAAGUGAUUGAAAAUUGGGAAAAGAAUUGAAUUCUUAGUUUCAUUUCUGUUCAGUCUCUAGACAUGGACUAAAAAGGUAAUCCUAGUGAUUCUGUGGCUAGGGGGUUCUUGGUACAACAUCUAAGUUCUGGGACCAUUUUCAUAUUUCCUCACUAUUAUCUUAAG